rnacentral:rRNA from 1 species
CAGUAGCCGCGGUAAUACGUAGGGUGCGAGCGUUAAUCGGAAUUACUGGGCGUAAAGCGUGCGCAGGCGGUUAUAUAAGACAGAUGUGAAAUCCCCGGGCUCAACCUGGGACCUGCAUUUGUGACUGUAUAGCUAGAGUACGGUAGAGGGGGAUGGAAUUCCGCGUGUAGCAGUGAAAUGCGUAGAUAUGCGGAGGAACACCGAUGGCGAAGGCAAUCCCCUGGACCUGUACUGACGCUCAUGCACGAAAGCGUGGGGAGCGAACAGGAUUAGAUACCCCCGUAGUCCCUGUCUCUUAUAC